rnacentral:misc_RNA from 1 species
GGACUACUAGGGUUUCUAAUCCGGUUCGCUCCCCACGCUCUCGCACCUCAGCGUCAGCAGAUGCCCAGUCGGCUGGUUUCCCCCUGGGUGUUCCUGCCGAUCUCUACGCAUUUCACCACUACACCGGCAAUUCCACCGACCUCUGCAUCGCUCCAGUCGCGCCGUAUGGGAUGGCGCCUGGCCGUUAAGCGGCCAGAUUUCACACCCCACGCGCGCAACCGCCUGCGUGCGCUUUACGCCCAGUCAAUCCGGACAACGCUUGGCUCCUCUGUAUUACCGCGGCUGCUGGCACAGAGUUAGCCGAGCCUUAUUCCCGGGGUACCGUCAUCAUCGUCCCCCGAAAAAGGAGUUUACAACCCGAAGGCCGUCAUCCUCCACGCGGCGUUGCUCGUUCAGGCUU